rnacentral:rRNA from 1 species
CAGCAGCCACGGUAAAACGUAGGGUGCAAGCGUUAAUCGGAAUUACUGGGCGUAAAGCGUGCGCAGGCGGUGUUGUAAGACUGAUGUGAAAUCCCCGGGCUCAACCUGGGAACUGCAUUUGUGACUGUAUAGCUAGAGUACGGCAGAGGGGGAUGGAAUUCCGCGUGUAGCAGUGAAAUGCGUAGAUAUGCGGAGGAACACCGAUGGCGAAGGCAAUCCCCUGGGCCUGUACUGACGCUCAUGCACGAAAGCGUGGGGAGCAAACAGGAUUAGAUACCCGCGUAGUCCCUGUCUCUUAUAC